CAGAGGGGAGUAGACGGCACUCACUACCUCUCCUCUCUCAUGCAUCCCCUGAGCUCCCCGGCAGGAGGACCGCACGCUCCAGGCCCAAUGUGSCCAGGAAGGAGGAGGUAGUGGAGUCUCUGCCCACCCUGAACACAGAGGUGUGGAGCUGGGGCCGGGGGCAGGAGGGACAGCUGGGCCACGGAGACCAGCUACCCAGGCUCCAGCCGCUGUGUAUCAAGAGCCUGAAUGGAGAGGAGGUAGUGAAGGUAGCGGCAGGAACACACCACUCACUGGCCCUUACUGCACAGUGUCAGGUGUUUUCGUGGGCAACAGACAGAUCCGGCAGUUGGGAC